GCCUCACUGUCAGCCGACCUUUUACAGUGAUCGACUAUUCUCCGAACUCCUUCCGGACUCCGUCGAUAUCGAGCUUCUUCGACAAUGAGGUUUCUACAGAGAUCGGACUCCAUCCGAGUUUCUACAGUGGUCGACCGCCUUCAAGAUUCUAAUCAGGCACCUGUGAGAGUCGAACUUCUACUACGAGCGGUCUACUCCGAACUCCUACAGCAGACGGUCUACUCCGAACUCUUACAACGAGCGGUCUACUCCGAACUCCUACAGCGGACGGUCUACUCCGAACUCCUACAGCGGGCGGUCUACUCCGGAUCUCUACUGUAAGCAAAUUCUAUUCGAGCCCC
rnacentral:lncRNA from 1 species